rnacentral:rRNA from 1 species
AAUAGAUACCCGGGUAGUCCUAGCCGUAAACGAUGGGUACUGGGUAGAAAGCGUGCCGAUGCGCCUUCUGCCGAAGCGAAAGUGUUAAGUACCCCGCCUGGGGAGUAUGGUCGCAAGGCUGAAACUCAAAGGAAUUGACGGGGGCUCACACCAGCGGUGGAGCAUGUGGCUUAAUUCGAGGCUACGCGAAGAACCUUAUCCUAGACUUGACAUGUACGGAUUAGCUCCCUGAAAGGGGAGUGACGCUCGCAAGAGUGGAACGUGCACAGGUGCUGCAUGGCUGUCGUCAGCUCGUGUUGUGAGAUGUCGGGUUAAGUCCCUUAACGAGCGAAACCCUUGUCCUUAGUUACCAGCGGUUCGGCCGGGAACUCUAAGGAGACUGCCGGUGUCAAGCCGGAGGAAGUGGGGAUGACGUCAAGUCCUCAUGGCCUUUAUGUCUAGGGCUGCACAUGUGCUACAAUGGGAAGUACAAAGGGAAGCAAGCUCGCGAGAGCAAGCAAAAUCCCAAAAAGCUUUCCUCAGUUCGGAUUGC